rnacentral:rRNA from 1 species
CCUACGGAGGCAGCAGUGGGGAAUCUUGCGCAAUGGGCGAAAGCCUGACGCAGCCAUGCCGCGUGAAUGAUGAAGGUCUUAGGAUUGUAAAAUUCUUUCACCGAGGACGAUAAUGACGGUACUCGGAGAAGAAGCCCCGGCUAACUUCGUGCCAGCAGCCGCGGUAAUACGAAGGGGGCUAGCGUUGCUCGGAAUUACUGGGCGUAAAGGGAGCGUAGGCGGAUAGUUUAGUCAGAGGUGAAAGCCCAGGGCUCAACCUUGGAAUUGCCUUUGAUACUGGCUAUCUUGAGUACGGAAGAGGUAUGUGGAACUCCGAGUGUAGAGGCGAAAUUCGUAGAUAUUCGGAAGAACACCAGUGGCGAAGGCGACAUACUGGUCCGUUACUGACGCUGAGGCUCGAAAGCGUGGGGAGCAAACAGGAUUAGAUACCCUGGUAGUCCACGCUGUAAACGAUGAGUGCUAGUUGUCGGCAUGCAUGCAUGUCGGUGACGCAGCUAACGCAUUAAGCACUCCGCCUGGGGAGUACGGUCGCAAGAUUAAAACUCAAAUGAAUUGACGG